rnacentral:pre_miRNA from 1 species
GUAGUAUUCCCUCCGUCCCAAAAUUCUUGUCUUACAUUUGUUUAGAUACGGAUGUAUCUAACACUAAAAUGUAACUAGAUACAUCCGUAUUUAGACAAAUUUAAGAUAAGAAUUUUGGGACGGAGGGAGUACAAA